rnacentral:rRNA from 1 species
UGAUUCUGGCUCAGAUUGAACGCUGGCGGGAUGUACUUUACACAUGCAAGUCGAACGCGCACGAACUUCGGUCUGGUGGCAGGUAGCGAACGGGUGAGUAAUAAUAUCGGAACGUACUAAGUAGCGGGGAUAACUACAUGACGUAGCUAAUAUACGCCCUUCGAGGGAAAGCGGGGGACAGCCCGGCGGGCCUCGCGCACAAUGCAAACGGCCGAUAUCAGUUAGCUAGUUGGUGGGGUAACGGCUCACCAGGGGCGACGAUCCGUAGCUGGUUUGAAGGACGACCAGCCCACACUGGACUGAGACACGGCCCAGACUCCUACGGGAGAACGCUGAUGAAAUUUUGGACAAUGGGGGAAACCACAGUCAGCCAUCCCGCGUGUGCGAUGAAGGCCUUCAGGUUGUAAAGCACUUUUGGCAGGAAAGAAACAGCACAGGAUAAUACCCCGUACAACUGACAGUACCUGCAGAAUAAAGUACCGGCUAACUACGUGCCAGCAGCCGCGGUAAUACGUAAGUGCAGCGUUAAUCGGAAUUACUGGGCGUAAAGCGUGCGCGAGCGGUUCGAAAGAAAGAUGUGAAAUCCAGAGCUUAACUUUGGAACUGCAUUUUUAACUACCGAGCUAGAGUGUGUCAGAGGAAGUGGAAUUCCACGCGUGUAGCAGUGAAAUGCGUAGAUAUGCGGAGGAACACCGAUGGCGAAGGCAACUCCUGGGAUAACACUGACGCUCAUGCACAGCAGUAAGGGAGCAAACAGGAUUAGAUGCCCUGGUGAUCCACGCCCUAAACGAUGUCGAAAAGCUAGCUGUUAGGGCCUUCGGGCCUUGGUAGCGCAGCUAACGCGUGAAGUUGACCGCCUGGGGAAGUACGGUCGCAAGAUUAAAACUCAAGGAAUUGACGGGGACCGCACAAGCGGUGGAUGAUGUGGAUUAAUUCGAUGCAACGCGAAAAACCUUACCUACCCUUGACAUGUCUGGAAUCCCCGAAGAGAUUUGGGAGUGCUCAUAAGAGAACCGGAACACAGGUACUGCAUGGCUGUCGUCAGCUCAUUGUCGUGAGAUGUUGGGUUAAGUCCGCAACAGCGCAACCCUUGUCAUUAGUUGCUACGAAGGGCACUCUAAUGAGACUGCCGGUGACAAACCGGAGGAAGGUGGGGAUGACGUCAAGUCCUCAUGGCCUUAUGGGUAGAGGCUUCACGUCAUACAAUGGUGGGACAGAGGGGUCGCCAACCCGCGAGGGGGAGCCAAUCCCAGAAACCCGAUCAUCAGUCCGGAUCUGAUCUGCAACUCGGCCCGUGGGAGUCGGAAUCGCUAGUAAUCGCGGAUCAGCAUACGCGGUGAAUACGUUCCCGGGUCUUGUACACACCGCCGUCACCAUAGGAGUGGGUUUUACCGAAGUAGUUAGCCUAACCGUAAGGGCGAUUACCACGGUAGCAGGAUUCAUGACUGGGGUGAAGUCGUAACAAGGUA